rnacentral:rRNA from 1 species
CGAAAGCCUGACGGAGCAACGCCGCGUGAGGGAUGAAGGCCUCUGGGCUGUAAACCUCUUUUCUCAAGGAAGAAGAUCUGACGGUACUUGAGGAAUAAGUCACGGCUAAUUCCGUGCCAGCAGCCGCGGUAAUACGGGAGUGGCAAGCGUUAUCCGGAAUUAUUGGGCGUAAAGCGUCCGCAGGCGGCCUUGUAAGUCUGCCGUUAAAGCGUGGAGCUCAACUCCAUUUCAGCGGUGGAAACUACAAGGCUUGAGUGUGGUAGGGCCAGAGGGAAUUCCCGGUGUAGCGGUGAAAUGCGUAGAUAUCGGGAAGAACACCAGUGGCGAAGGCGCUCUGCUGGGCCAUAACUGACGCUCAUGGACGAAAGCCAGGGGAGCG